rnacentral:lncRNA from 1 species
CCUCCUUAAAGGGGUCCGCCUUUCCUGAACUUGACGGGGCGGACCCGGAGUCUCCUUUGGGGAAGUUUAUUACGAAGCAUAACGAAAUAUUCUCCAUCCCUCUAGGUUCUCGUCAAGGGGCGUGUGUUUAGACCCCGAAAUUAAGUCCACAUAAAAGGGGUUGCCCUCAUCUGUGGAUGAAGUAGUGGGUAGUGUCUGGCCCCAGCGGGCGAUCUCUGCGUGUUCCGCCACCGAGGAAGCUACAGCCUCCAGCCAGCCGUUCAUCUCCUCCUGGGGGAAGAAACAGGGCACAGAGGCCGUAUUUGGAAGAGAGAAGCUGGAAUAAUAGAUUCUGCCUCUCAGUUGGACAAAAAGAGGGUGGACAAGCAGGAGCUGGACUCCCCAAGAGCAGGCACAUCAUGGCUAGACCCUCAUUUGGAAACCUGUAAGAGAUGACUCCCCCUUCCCAACCCCUACCCUCAUUAGUUUGGGCUCUGCCCGUUUUCGGACCCUCCCCCAAUUUGAAACUUCAAGGGUAGACCCACCCCACUCAUUGGUUGAGUGACCUCUCCAAGCUCCACGACAAGCCAUUGAAACCUUCUCAACUAGAUGCCUCCCUCUUUGCUAUUUAGCUGAUCAACUCCUGGGUUGGUUGCUAAGAGGUUAGGUUCCAAUUUACUCACUUUCAGAACAUUUUCCUUCUGUUCCCACCUAAGCUCUACCCAUCAUCCAUUAGAUGCACUAACCUUAGGUCCUGCCCCUUCCUGUUCAUUGGUUGGAAUCAUCAAAGUUGAGCCCCACCCCUCAUCUGGCCCCACCUACUACCCCCACGGGUUGGAGGGCCUGACGUUAAACCACACCCCCUCCUGCUC